rnacentral:rRNA from 1 species
CUGUCGUCAGCUCGUGUUGUGAAAUGUUGGGUUAAGUCCCGCAACGAGGGCAACCCUUAUCCUUUGUUGCCAGCGAUUAGGUUGGGAACUCAAAGGAGAGUGCCAGUGAUAAAAUGGAGGAAGGUGGGGAUGACGUCAAGUCAUCAUGGCCCUUACGACCAGGGCUACACACGUGCUACAAUGGCGCAUACAAAGAGAAGCGACCUCGCGAGAGCAAGCGGACCUCAUAAAGUGCGUCGUAGUCCGGAUUGGAGUUUGCAACUCGAGUCCAUGAAGUCGGAAUCGCUAGUAAUCGUGGAUCAGAAUGCCACGGUGAAUACGUUCCCGGGCCUUGUACACACCGCCCGUCACACCAUGGGAGUGG